GCACAGAGUUAGCCGGUGCUUAUUCUGUCGGUAACGUCAAAAUUGCAGAUUAUUAAUCUACAGCCCUUCCUCCCAACUUAAAGUGCUUUACAAUCCGAAGACCUUCUUCACACACGCGGCAUGGCUGGAUCAGGCUUUCGCCCAUUGUCCAAUAUUCCCCA
rnacentral:rRNA from 1 species